rnacentral:rRNA from 1 species
GAUGAACGCUGGCGGCGUGCCUAAUACAUGCAAGUCGAGCGAACAGACGAGGAGCUUGCUCCUCUGACGUUAGCGGCGGACGGGUGAGUAACACGUGGAUAACCUACCUAUAAGACUGGGAUAACUUCGGGAAACCGGAGCUAAUACCGGAUAAUAUAUUGAACCGUAUGGUUCAAUAGUGAAAGACGGUUUUGCUGUCACUUAUAGAUGGAUCCGCGCCGCAUUAGCUAGUUGGUAAGGUAACGGCUUACCAAGGCGACGAUGCGUAGCCGACCUGAGAGGGUGAUCGGCCACACUGGAGCUGAGACACGGUCCAGACUCCUACGGGAGGCAGCAGUAGGGAAUCUUCCGCAAUGGGCGAAAGCCUGACGGAGCAACGCCGCGUGAGUGAUGAAGGUCUUCGGAUCGUAAAACUCUGUUAUUAGGGAAGAACAAAUGUGUAAGUAACUAUGCACGUCUUGACGGUACCUAAUCAGAAAGCCACGGCUAACUACGUG